CCGGUGAGCUACGGCUCGCCGGGGUUGAGGACUGCAUUUAGUCUCAAUGGUCUAUCCGAACUACCUGGAAAGGUAGGCAACACAGUGUAAAAGCCACGUAGGUUAAAGACCGGAGAGAUGAGCAGUAUCCAGAGUACCACGAGGCACGAGGAAUCUUGUGGGAAGCCGGGGGGACCACCCUCCAACCCUAAACACUGAAUGGCGACCGAUAGCGCAUAGUACCGUGAGGGAAAGGUGAAAAGAACCCCGGGAGGGGAGUGAAAGAGAACCUGAAACCGUAUGUCUACAAGCAGUCGGAGCGAAAGCGACGGCGUGCCUAUUGAAGAAUGAACCAACGAGUUACGUGCACUAGCGAGGUUAAGUGGAAGACACGGAGCCGAAGCGAAAGCGAGUCUUAAGAGGGCGGAUAGUUAGUGUACGUAGACCCGAAACCGCAGUGAUCUACCCAUGUCCAGGUUGAAGCGCAGGUAAAAUUGCGUGGAGGACCGAACCUGUGAGCGUUGAAAAGCUUUAGGAUGAGAUGUGGGUAGAGGUGAAAUUCCAAUCGAACGCGGAGAUAGCUGGUUCUCCCCGAAAUAGCUUUAGGGCUAGCCUCAAGUAGUAAGUAUAGGCGGUAGAGCACUGAUCGGGCUAGGGGCCAUAAAGGUUACCGAACCCUGUCAAACUCCGAAUGGUUAUACUGUAGAGCUUGGGAGUCAGACUACGAGUGAUAAGAUCCGUGGUCAAAAGGGAAACAGCCCAGACCACCAGCUAAGGUCCCCAAUGUCGUACUAAGUGGAAAAGGAUGUGGGGUCUCUAAAACAACCAGGAUGUUGGCUUAGAAGCAGCCACCAUUUAAAGAGUGCGUAAUAGCUCACUGGUCGAGAGACCCUGCGCCGAAGAUUACCGGGGCUAAAGUACGAAACCGAAGCUGUGGCUACGACAUAUGUCGUGGGGUAGGGGAGCGUUCUGUGAGGGCUGAAGUCGUUCUGUAAGGAACGGUGGACUUCACAGAAGUGAGAAUGUUGGUAUGAGUAGCGAAAAGAAUGGUGAGAAUCCAUUCCACCGAAAGCAUAAGGAUUCCUGGGCAACGAUCGUCGUCCCAGGGUAAGUCGGGACCUAAUCCGAGGCAUGGAGCGUAGGAGAUGGACAACUGGCAGAUAUUCCAGUACCGGUAAUGAUUGUUUGAGCGAUGGAGUGACACAGGAGGGCAGGCAGGCAGGAGAUUGGUUGUUCCUGUACAAGCGUGUAGGAUGGGACGCAGGCAAAUCCGCGUCCUGUGAGUCUGAGGCGUGAUGUGGAGGUUCCGGAAACGGAACUGAAGCUGCUGACCCCACACUGUCGAGAAAAGCUUCUAGUUAGAGAAUUACCGCCCGUACCGUAAACCGACACAGGUAUGCGGGGAGAGAAUCCUAAGGUGCGCGGGAGAACCCUCGUUAAGGAACUCGGCAAAAUGUACCCGUAACUUCGGGAUAAGGGUAGCCGCUGUUGUGAAGUCUGAACAGACGGAGCAUGAGGCGGUCGCAGAGAAGAGGCCCAAGCGACUGUUUACCACAAACACAGGUGCCUGCUAAAGAGAAAUCUGACGUAUAGGUGCUGACACCUGCCCAGUGCCGGAAGGUUAAGGAAGGAUGUCCGGAGCAAUCCAAAGCAUUCGACCGAAGCCCCGGUGAACGGCGGCCGUAACUAUAACGGUCCUAAGGUAGCGAAAUUCCUUGUCGGGUAAGUUCCGACCCGCACGAAAGGUGUAACGAUUUGGGCACUGUCUCAACGAGGGACCCGGUGAAAUUGAAGUACCUGUGAAGAUGCAGGUUACCCGCGACUGGACAGAAAGACCCCAUGGAGCUUUACUGUAACCUGACAUUGGGUUCUGAUACAUCACGUACAGGAUAGGUGGGAGGCAUGGAAGCGAGGACGCUAGUCUUCGUGGAGCCGCCGUUGGGAUACCACCCUUGAUGUAUCGGAAUUCUAACCGUAGGAGUAACGAAACUCGGGACAGUGUCAGGCGGGCAGUUUGACUGGGGCGGUCGCCUCCCAAAGAGUAACGGAGGCGCCCAAAGGUUCCCUCAGCGCGGCCGGAAAUCGCGCGAAGAGUGUAAAGGCAGAAGGGAGCUUGACUGAGAGCCAAACACGGCAAUCAGGUACGAAAGUAGGGCUUAGUGAUCCGGUGG
rnacentral:rRNA from 1 species